CGAUUGAUCUCCGAGAAACACCAGCUUGUACUUUGCUAGAGGUGAAACCACCGCCAUUACGUUAGUUACUUGUGGCAAGCUACUUUGA